rnacentral:lncRNA from 1 species
CCCCCUCACUUUGGGGUCGUCCCCCCCCCCCCCUCCUCCCUCCACCUCCUCAUGAAGCGCAGUUUGGGGGGUCCCCCCCCGACCCCCCCCCCUCCUCCCUCCUCCUCCCCCCCCCCUCCAGAGGGUGGGCGGGGAUGGGGGGGCGGGGGGGGGGCGGCGGCGUCGUCCUCAUCGCUGAGGUCGGUGACCUCCACUUCCUCCGAGUCCACUUCCGGUGGGGUGGGGGGAGGGGUGGACCCCCCCGGGCCAGCCGAGGGGUGCACGUGACCGGAAGCGACCCCGUGGCCGGAAGGAAGCCCCGGACCGGAAGUGACCCCUCGACCGGAAGCGACCCCGGGGCUGACGUUCCCGCGACCCGGAGCGACCCCGUCGCCUUCGCCCCCGCCGUGACCUGAGGUGACCCCUUGACCUGAGGUGACCCCGUGACCUGAGACGACCCCGUGAGCUUUGGUAACCUCUUGACCGGAAGUGACCCCGUGACCGGGCGUGACCCCAGCUGCCUCUCCUUGACCCGAAGUGACCCCGUGACCCGAAGUGACCCCGGGAGCCUCUCCUUGACCUGAGGUGACCCCAUGACCUGCAGUAACCCCGGGAGCCUCUCCUUGACCCGAAGUGACCCCAUGACCGGAAGUAACCGCGUGACCGGAAGUACCCCCGUGACCCGAAGUAACCCCACCUCCCUCUCCUUUCCCCCUCCCCCUCCUCCCGGGCGGGGGGGGCUGCAACUUAAAGGCGAAGGGGGGGGGAGGGGGGGUCGGGGGGGGGUCCCGAUGGGGGUCCCGAUGGGGGUGGGGGGGGGGGCGGGGGGGGGGAGGGGCCAAAAAGGGGCGGGGGCUGAGAUGGUACGCGCACACCCGGGCGGCCAAACAGCGCGCCAGGUCUUCCGCACUGAAGGAGAAGUGGGGGGACCCCCCCCCACCGCCGCCCCCCCCCCCCGAAGUGGGGAGACCCCCCCGAGCCGAAGUGGGGCGACCCCCCCCCAAAGUGCGGCGACCCCCCCCCCGAAAUGAGGCGACCCCCCCCCCGAAAAGAGGGCUGGGGGUGGGGGAGGGGCUGUAAGGCAGCUGUGGGGAUAGGGGGGCCAACAGAGCCCCCCCCGACCCGAAGGGGCUGCGGGGGUACAGCCGUAACAAAGUGGGGCCCCCCCCGGGAUCGGCGCUUAACCUGAGGGGGGGUCCCCGAAACGACGGCCCCCCCCCCCACCCCCAUAUCGGGGGGGUCGUCCGGCUCCAAAGCGGCGUCGCUGCAGUCGCUCAGAGACCCCCGGGGUCGGGGAGGGGGGGGGCGGCGGUGGGGGGGGGCGCCGUCUCCUCCUCCUCCUCCCCCCCCCCCCCACCUCCAACCCCCCCCCCAAGAAGGGAGGAAGAGGACGAAGACGGGGAGAGUCCAUCCGGGGGGGGGAAGCGGAAGUGGGGGGGUCCUCCUCCUCCUCCUCCUCCUCCUCCUGAAGACCCCCCCGUGGGGAUGGGGGGAGCGCUGUGGGGGACGGGGGGGCCUG